rnacentral:rRNA from 1 species
ACGGCUCAGUAACACGUGGCUAACCUACCCUUUGGACGGGGACAACCCCGGGAAACUGGGCCUAAUCCCCGAUAGAUGAGAAGUCCUGGAAUGGUUUCUCAUCUAAAAGGUGUUUAGAGCAUGCUUCUAGGCGUCGCCAAAGGAUGGGGCCGCGGCCGAUCAGGUUGUUGGUGAGGUAACGGCUCACCAAGCCUAUAACCGGUACGGGCCGUGAGAGCGGGAGCCCGGAGAUGGGCACUGAGAUAAGGGCCCAGGCCCUACGGGGCGCAGCAGUUGCGAAAACUCCGCAAUGCGCGAAAGCGUGACGGGGCUACCCCGAGUGCCGUCCGCUGAGGACGGCUUUUCCACGGUGUAAGGAGCCGUGGGAAUAAGGAGAGGGCAAGACUGGUGUCAGCCGCCGCGGUAAUACCAGCUCUCCGAGUGGUGGGGACGAUUAUUGGGCUUAAAGCGUUCGUAGCCGGUCCGGCAAGUCUUCCGUUAAAUCCAGCGAUCUAAUCGUUGGACUGCGGGAGAUACUGUUGGGCUAGGGGGCGGGAGAAGCCGACGGUAUUCUCGGGGUAGGGGUGAAAUCCUAUAAUCCCGGGAAGACCACCAGUGGCGAAGGCGGUCGGCUAGAACGCGCCCGACGGUGAGGGACGAAAGCUGGGGGAGCGAACCGGAUUAGAUACCCGGGUAGUCCCAGCCGUAAACGAUGCGGGCUAGGUGUUGGGGCGGCCACGAGCCGCUUCAGUGCCGCACGGAAGCAAUUAAGCCCGCCGCCUGGGGAGUACGGCCGCAAGGCUGAAACUUAAAGGAAUUGGCGGGGGAG